CCCAGGGCUGUCUCCCUGGGCUAUAUUCUGUCAGCCCUUCGGGUUU
rfam:Candidatus Brocadia sinica JPN1 DNA, contig: brosiA.